GGGCUUCCAAUUCUGUGUUGAAGAAAAGUGGCGAGAAUGGGCAUCAUUGUCUUGUUCUUGAUCUUAGAGGAAAAGCGUCAUCAUUUUGACUGUCCCUUUCCAGAGCCCUGUUGAGUUUUUCCUUCCCCCUUUAUAUGAAUCUUGAUCUCUACUCCUUCAAAGGGGACCCAGGUUCGAGCCCUAGUCUGGGAAGAUCUCACGUAUCACGGAGCAACUAAGCCCGUGUGCCACAACUACUGAGCCUGUGCUCUAGAGCCCGUGAGCCACAACUACUGAAACCUGCACGCCUAGAGCCCGUGCUCCACAUCAAAAGAAACCACCGCAAUGAGAAGCCCACGCACCACAACGAAGAGAAACCCACGCACUGCAACGAAGAAGAGUAGCCCCUGCUUGCCGCAACUAGAGAAAGCCUGCGUGCAGCAACGAAGACCCAG